rnacentral:rRNA from 13 species
GGAUGAGCUGUGGGUAGGGGUGAAAGGCCAAUCAAACUCCGUGAUAGCUGGUUCUCCCCGAAAUGCAUUUAGGUGCAGCGUUGCGUGGUUCUUGUUGGAGGUAGAGCACUGGAUGGUCUAGGGGGCUUAUCGGCUUACCGAAAUCAGCCAAACUCCGAAUGCUGGCAAGUGUAGCGUGGCAGUGAGACGGCGGGGGAUAAGCUUCGUCGUCGAGAGGGAAACAGCCCAGAUCAUCAGCUAAGGCCCCUAAGUGGUGACUCAGUGGGAAAGGAUGUGGAGUUGCGUAGACAACCAGGAGGUUGGCUUGGAAGCAGCCAUCCUUGAAAGAGUGCGUAAUAGCUCACUGGUCAAGUGAUUCCGCGCCGACAAUGUAGCGGGGCUCAAGCAAUCCGCCGAAGCUGUGGCAUUCAUAUUAGUACUCGGCCAGAACUUGUUUCUGGUCCAGGUGUGUGGAUGGGUAGGGGAGCGUCGUGCAGCGUGUGAAGCAGCAGAGUGAUCUAGUUGUGGAUGCUGCACGAGUGAGAAUGCAGGCAUGAGUAGCGAAUGACGGGUGGGAAACCCGUCCGCCGAAUGAUCAAGGGUUCCAGGGUCAAGCUAAUCUGCCCUGGGUAAGUCGGGACCUAAGGCGAGGCCGACAGGCGUAGUCGAUGGACAACGGGUUGAUAUUCCCGUACCGGCAUUAACACGACCCGACCGAGGUCACUGAUGCUAAAACCGAGAAGCUAGGCGGCCUUCGGGCCAAGUAGUGGAUCUGUUGACCCGAGGUGGUAUUAGGUGCACUAAGGAGUGACGCAGGAGGGCAGUCCAUCCGCGGCGAUGGUAGGCGCAAGCUGAUCCGCGGGCAAGGUGGUAGGGCGGGGCAUAGGCAAAUCCGUGUCUCAUUAAGCCUGAGAACCGAGGCGGACCCGUUCAGGGGAAGUGGAUGAUCCCAUGCUGCCAAGAAAAACUUCGUAGUGAGUGUUAGAGCCGCCCGUACCCCAAACCGACACAGGUGAUCAGGUAGAGAAUACCAAGGCGAUCGAGUGAACCAUGGUUAAGGAACUCGGCAAAAUGCCCCCGUAACUUCGGGAGAAGGGGGGCCGGACACGUGACACCACUUGCUGGUGGAAGCGUUGAUGGCCGCAGAGACCAGGCCCAAGCGACUGUUUACUAAAAACACAGGUCCAUGCGAAGUCGUAAGACGAUGUAUACGGACUGACUCCUGCCCGGUGCUGGAAGGUUAAGGGGAACUGUGAGUGUAUGCGUAGCGGUGAACUUAAGCCCCAGUAAACGGCGGUGGCAACUAUAACCAUCCUAAGGUAGCGAAAUUCCUUGUCGGGUAAGUUCC